rnacentral:rRNA from 1 species
CUGCCGCGUGCAGGAUGAAGGCCUUCGGGUUGUAAACUGCUUUUGUACGGAACGAAAAGACUCCUUCUAAUAAAGGGGGUCCAUGACGGUACCGUAAGAAUAAGCACCGGCUAACUACGUGCCAGCAGCCGCGGUAAUACGUAGGGUGCGAGCGUUAAUCGGAAUUACUGGGCGUAAAGCGUGCGCAGGCGGUUAUAUAAGACAGAUGUGAAAUCCCCGGGCUCAACCUGGGAACUGCAUUUGUGACUGUAUAGCUAGAGUACGGCAGAGGGGGAUGGAAUUCCGCGUGUAGCAGUGAAAUGCGUAGAUAUGCGGAGGAACACCGAUGGCGAAGGCAAUCCCCUGGGCCUGUACUGACGCUCAUGCACGAAAGCGUGGGGAGCAAACAGGAUUAGAUACCCUGGUAGUCCACGCCCUAAACGAUGUCAACUGGUUGUUGGGUCUUCACUGACUCAGUAACGAAGCUAACGCGUGAAGUUGACCGCCUGGGGAGUACGGCCGCAAGGUUGAAACUCAAUGAAAUU